UGUAAGCGUAUACCAAAGUUGUUGCAGUUAAAACGCUCGUAGUCGGAAUUUGGCAGUUCCGGAUGUGUGCACGUCGUGUGCGCACUUCGCGGGGAUUGCUUUUGUGGUCUUGCGUAGGAUGAGGCACUUUUAUUAGUGAACGUCCUCACGCAACCACUUUUUACCGUGAGAAAAUCAGAGUGCUCAAAGCAGGCAUUUGCCGUGAAUGUAUUAGCAUGGAAUAAUAGAAUAGGACUUGGUUCUAUUUUGUUGGUUUGUUGGGACUGAGUAAUGAUUGAGAGGGACAGUUGGGGGCAUUUGUAUUUCGGUGCUAGAGGUGAAAUUCUUAGAUUACCGAAAGACAAACUGCUGCGAAAGCGUCUGCCAAGGAUGUUUUCAUUGA
rnacentral:rRNA from 1 species